CAGGCGGUCUGUCAAGUCGGAUGUGAAAUCCCCGGGCUCAACCUGGGAACUGCAUUCGAAACUGGCAGGCUUGAGUCUUGUAGAGGGGGGUAGAAUUCCAGGUGUAGCGGUGAAAUGCGUAGAGAUCUGGAGGAAUACCGGUGGCGAAGGCGGCCCCCUGGACAAAGACUGACGCUCAGGUGCGAAAGCGUGGGGAGCAAACAGGAUUAGAUACCCUGGUAGUCCACGCCGUAAACGAUGUCUACUUGGAGGUUGUGCCCUUGAGGCGUGGCUUCCGGAGCUAACGCGUUAAGUAGACCGCCUGGGGAGUACGGCCGCAAGGUUAAAACUCAAAUGAAUUGACGGGGGCCCGCACAAGCGGUGGAGCAUGUGGUUUAAUUCGAUGCAACGCGAAGAACCUUACCUGGUCUUGACAUCCACAGAAGAAUCCAGAGAUGGAUUUGUGCCU
rnacentral:rRNA from 1 species